rnacentral:rRNA from 1 species
GCGUAUAUUAAUGUUGUUGCAGUUAAAAAGCUCGUAGUUGGAUUUCUACCUAUUUUGCCCGUUCCGGAUGAUAUUCAUCUUUCGGUAAUGGAGCUGAAGUGGGUAUCCUAUCAUGAAGUUGCGGCCUCGUGUCGUCGCUGAGUGGUUCUUUUACUUUGAAAAAAUUAGAGUGUUUAAAGCAGGCUUGCGCAAGAAUACAUUAGCAUGGAAUAAUAACAUAGGACUUUGGUCUCUAUUUUGUUGGUUUCUAGGACUAAAGUAAUGAUUGAUAGGGAUAGUUGGGGGUGCUAGUAUUGAGCGGCCAGAGGUGAAAUUCUUAGAUUCGCUCAAGACUAACUUAUGCGAAAGCAUUCACCAAGGAUGUCUUCUUUAAUCAAGAACGAAAGUUGGGGGAUCGAAGACGAUCAGAUACCGUCGUAGUCUCAACCAUAAACUAUACCGACUAAGGAUGAGUGAUCGUUGCAUUUUCGACUUCAUUCGCACUUUAUGAGAAAUCAAAGUCUUUGGGUUCCGGGGGGAGUAUGGUCGCAAGGCUGAAACUUAAAG